GUAAUUUUCUCUUUUAACAUUGUUUGAGAGGAUGUCUUAUUCUCCGUAUAUGUAUUCUUUUCUUUCCAUUGCUAAUAGUGUUUCUUUUUCUAUAAAAAGAAUUCCUUUAUUUAUUUCUGUGGUUUCUUAGUCUAUUAGACUGAUCAAAUGAGCCGUAAUAGUUUUCUUUAGAUGGACUCAAUUUUUAGACAGCUUUGGGACGGACAAUCAUUUUUGACUUCCAUAAAAGGAUUUCAACUCCAGAUGCUCAUUCCUUUCCAAGUCAGAACAGAUAAAACAUCAAAUAAUUGCUGUCUUUGGCAUCUUUGUCCUAUAUACUAGUCUCAUCAGUGGCCUGAAGUAUGGUAUUGAAUGGGUAUAAUAUUGUAUAAUAGCACUCUAGAAUAGGACCUUUCUUUACCAGUUAAUGGGUAAACUGAUUUCUUUUCAUGUUGCCUUUUAAUCCGUAGUAAUUUAAUGUUCCAUUUAAAUACCAAUUAUCUAUUAUGUAUUGAGAGAAUUAUGUCUCCUGUCUUUGUUACAAAGAAUUAGUUUUCCAUUGUUAUUCAUAUUCGUGUUAGUACGCAAAUGGUAUUUCUUCUUCUUUGAAUUUUUAAAGCCUUUAUCUUAAAUGUUCAGUUGCCAUCAGGGUUUGCAUUUUGACAUUUAAAUAUCCAAGAAACUGUCACUGCAGUUUAACUCAACCAAUUGGCCUACUGUCGUGGAGAAUUACAUCUGAUGUUGGGGGCAUAUUUUGUUGUCAGGUACUGCAUGGUUCUUUUUGCCGGUAUUGCUGCUGAAGCACUUGUCUACGGGGAGGCUGAGGGUGGAGAGAAUGAUGAAAAUUUGUUCAGGAGCAUCUGUGUUCUUCUGCAGCCCCCAUCGUCAGUAGCCCAGAUGUCAAAUCAAGCACGGUGGUCAGUUCUACAAUCUUACAAUCUACUUAAAUGGCACAGGCACGCUCAUCGUGCUGCAGUUAAAGCUCUGGAAAAUGGGGCUCCUCUUAGUGUUGUAAUAAGAAGCAUUGAGGAAGCCAUGUCUUCCUGCAGAUGAAAUAAUGUUGUAAACAUAAGUGCUUUGUUCAUGUAUAUAAAUGGUAAGAGCUUCUAUUUUUUGUAAAUUUGCUUCUUCCUGGUGGAAAUUCUAGAAUAACUUGAAAA